GAUGAAGAACGUAGUGAAAUGCGAUAAGUAAUGUGAAUUGCAGAAUCCAGUGAAUCAUCGAAUCUUUGAACGCACAUUGCGCCCGCCAGCAUUCUGGCGGGCAUGCCUGUUCGAGCGUCAUUUCAACCCUCGACCUCCCUUUGGGGAAGUCGGCGUUGGGGACCGGCAGCACACCGCCGGCCCUGAAAUGGAGUGGCGGCCCGUCCGCGGCGACCUCUGCGUAGUAAACCAACUCGCACCGGAACCCCGACGUGGCCACGCCGUAAAACACCCAACUUCUGAACGUUGACCUCGAAUCAGGUAGGACUACCCGCUGAACUUAAGCAUAUCAAUAAGCGGAGGA
rnacentral:misc_RNA from 1 species